GCUGGUGAAAACGUUGGACCAAAUGUUUCAAUAAAAAAAAUUAAUUUUGGGUGGGACGAGGUUCGCCGGAUCUGCUAGUUUAUUAAUAAAAUUUGCAGC